UACGUACCGUCCAAACGUUAUUCGGAUUUACUGGGCGUAAAGCGCGCGUAGGCGGCUUUGUAAGUUAGAGGUGAAAGCCCAGGGCUCAACCCUGGAAUUGCCUUUAAGACUGCAUCGCUUGAACAUCGGAGAGGUAAGUGGAAUUCCGAGUGUAGAGGUGAAAUUCGUAGAUAUUCGGAAGAACACCAGUGGCGAAGGCGACUUACUGGACGAUUGUUGACGCUGAGGUGCGAAAGCGUGGGGAGCAAACAGG
rnacentral:rRNA from 1 species